rnacentral:lncRNA from 1 species
GGCAGCUCGGAAGCGGGGCUGAGACCGGGCAGCUCGUUGCACGCGUGGUGAUGGUGUAAAGACGGGGUGCUGUGCCCGGCUCUGGGGGUUGGUGACGUGGGGAGGUGGCCAUCCAUGUGUUGUCCCCAUGCAGGUUCCAGAAGCACGUCCACACCUACCGCAUCCUGCCUGAUGAGGAGGACUUCUUGGCCGUGCAGGUGGGCGCUGUGGGGACAGAUGGGGACACCCCGAGGCCAUCAGUGCAGGGGGGUCUGGGCAGUGUGGUCACCCCAUCCCCACCUGGGGACAGAUGGGGACACCCCAUGGCCACCCCUCCAGAGGGAUCUGGGCACCAUGGUCACCCCAUUUCCACCCUGGGGAC